GCCUGGGUGGCUCAGUGGGUUAAGCAUCUGACUUAAGCUCAGGUCACGAUCCCACGGUUUGUGAGUUCAAGCCCCACCUGGGGCU
rfam:Felis catus isolate Cinnamon breed Abyssinian chromosome D4, whole genome shotgun sequence.